GCUCGCAUAGUUUAGUGGUUAUAAUUUUGCACUUGUACCGAAUUUUACAAGGGAUUUAUCCGUCAUGCAAGGGUCGCUAGUUCGAAUCUGGCUGUGAGCA
rfam:Cryptococcus bestiolae CBS 10118 unplaced genomic scaffold supercont1.4, whole genome shotgun sequence.